GCCAGCUCUUAACAGCUAAACAAAAAAAAAAAGAUUAUUAAUGUUCCCAGUUCUGCUUCUCUCGCGUCAGAAUAUCAGAUUCUUAUUAUUUCUGGAUUUGUUAUUUUAAAAAGCCAAGAUUUUCCAGAGAAACCAACAUGCUCGCAGAUCCUCUAAACAAGCAUACUCUCACUUAAUCUACAAAUUCUGCAAAACGAGGCGCUCGGUUUUUUUGGGAAAAAAAAAAGUUCCAUGUAAUGUCAUCUCGUGUUUCCCCGCCUCUCUUAUCGCAUCAGAGUUGAUAGAAUUUCCUGACGUGUUUCUUGCAAGAUGUAGUCACUGAACUUCGUUACAAGCCAGCAGAGAGGCCAGAUAGCAUGGUGCGGGGCUUUUUUCAUUUUGAUUUUUGAAUGCUACUAGAUCGUUUGGUCUUGUCUCUCGAACUGAA
rnacentral:misc_RNA from 1 species